rnacentral:rRNA from 1 species
GUGAGGAAUAUUGCGCAAUGGAGGCAACUCUGACGCAGCCAUGCCGCGUGCAGGAAGAAGGCGCUACGCGUUGUAAACUGCUUUUAACCGGGAAGAAACCCCAGGACGUGUCCUGGGUUGACGGUACCGGAGGAAUAAGCACCGGCUAACUUCGUGCCAGCAGCCGCGGUAAUACGAAGGGUGCAAGCGUUAUCCGGAUUCAUUGGGUUUAAAGGGUGCGUAGGCGGAGCGUUAAGUCAGUGGUGAAAUCCUGCAGCUUAACUGUAGACUUGCCAUUGAUACUGGCGCUCUUGAGUGCGCUUGAAGUGGGCGGAAUGUGCCGUGUAGCGGUGAAAUGCUUAGAUAUGGCACAGAGCACCAAUUGCGAAGGCAGCUCACUAAGGCGAUACUGACGCUGAGGCACGAAAGCGUGGGGAUCGAACAGGAUUAGAUACCCUUGUAGUCC